GGGUGAGUAACACGUGAGCAAUCUGCCCGGAAGCCCGGAAUAGCCCUCCGAAAGGAGGAUUAAUGCCGGAUGUGGCCAACCCGCGAUUGCGGGUGACGCUAAAGAUUUAUCGCUUCUGAGAGGAGCUCGCGGCCCAUCAGCUUGUUGGUGAGGGUAACGGCCCACCAAGGCGGUGACGGGUAGCUGGUCUGAGAGGAUGGUCAGCCACACUGGAACUGAGACACGGUCCAGACACCUACGGGUGGCAGCAGUCGAGAAUCAUUCGCAAUGGGGGCAACCCUGACGAUGCGACGCCGCGUGAAGGAUGAAGGCCCUAGGGUUGUAAACUUCUGUCAAGAGGGAAUAAGCAAGUGAAGGUACCUCUAGAGGAAGGGGCGGCUAAUUCCGUGCCAGCAGCCGCGGUAACACGGAAGCCCCGAGCGUUGUUCGGAUUUAUUGGGCGUAAAGGGUGCGUAGGCGGCGCGGAAAGUCUGGUGUGAAAGGCAGGGGCUCAACCCCUGGACUGCACUGGAUACUCCCGUGCUUGAGGACUGGAGGGGAGACUGGAAUUCACGGUGUAGCAGUGAAAUGCGUAGAUAUCGUGAGGAAGACCGGUGGCGAAGGCGAGUCUCUGGACAGUUCCUGACGCUGAGGCACGAAGGCUGGGGUAGCGAACAGGAUUAGAUACCCUGGUAGUCCCAGCAGUAAACGAUGUGAGCUUGAUGUGGGGGGAUUCGACCCCUUCCGUGUCGAAGUUAACGCGAUAAGCUCACCGCCUGAGGAGUACGAUCGCAGGAUUAAAACUCAAAGAAAUUGACGGGGACCCGCACAAGCGGUGGAGUAUGUGGCUUAAUUCGAUGCGACGCGAAGAACCUUACCUGGCCUUGACAUGCAUUGUGUCGUCGGUGAAAGCCGGCUAGUCCUGGAAACAGGACGCUUUGCACAGGUGCUGCAUGGCUGUCGUCAGCUCGUGUCGUGAGAUGUUGGGUUAAGU
rnacentral:rRNA from 1 species